GCUCUGACUCAGUCAGUAGAGCAUGAGACUCUCAAUCUCAGGGUCGUGGGUUGGCACCCCACAUUGGGCG
rnacentral:tRNA from 1 species